CCCUUAGAUGUUCUGGGCCGCACGCGCGCUACACUGAUGCAUUCAACGAGUCCAACCUUGACCGAGAGGUCCGGGUAAUCUUUGAAACUGCAUCGUGAUGGGGCUAGAUUAUUGCAAUUAUUAAUCUUCAACGAGGAAUGCCUAGUAAGCGUGAUUCAUCAAAUCGCGUUGAUUACGUCCCUGCUCUUUGUACACACCGCCCGUCGCUCCUACCGAUUGAGUGUGUUGGUGAGGAGUUUGGAUUGGCCUCGGAAGGUGGUUCGCCACCGUCCGUAGCUGAGAAGUUCUCCAAACCGCCCCACUUAGAGGAAGGAGAAGUCGUANCA
rnacentral:rRNA from 1 species